rnacentral:rRNA from 1 species
UACGUAGGGGGCUAGCGUUGUCCGGAAUCAUUGGGCGUAAAGAGCGUGUAGGCGGUCCGGUAAGUCCGUUGUGAAAGUCAGGGGCUCAACCCUUGAAUGCCGGCGGAUACUGUCGGGCUAGAGUCCGGAAGAGGCAAGUGGAAUUCCCGGUGUAGCGGUGAAAUGCGCAGAUAUCGGGAGGAACACCUAUGGCGAAGGCAGCUUGCUGGGACGGCACUGACGCUGAGACGCGAAAGCGUGGGGAGCGAACAGG